GACGAACGCUGGCGGCGUGCCUAAUACAUGCAAGUCGAGCGGAACUGGGGGAGCUUGCUCCUUCCAGUUUAGCGGCGGACGGGUGAGUAACACGUAGGCAACCUGCCCUGCAGAUCGGGAUAACUCCGGGAAACCGGUGCUAAUACCGAAUAGUUUGGCGCCUCUCCUGAGGCGCCACGGAAAGACGGUCUCGGCUGUCACUGCAGGAUGGGCCCGCGGCGCAUUAGCUAGUUGGUGGGGUAACGGCCCACCAAGGCGACGAUGCGUAGCCGACCUUGGAGGGUGACCGGCCACACUGGGACUGAGACACGGCCCAGACUCCUACGGGAGGCAGCAGUAGGGAAUCUUCCGCAAGGGACGCAAGUCUGACGGAGCAACGCCGCGUGAGUGACGAAGGUUUUCGGAUCGUAAAACUCUGUUGUGAGGGAAGAACACGUACCAACUAACUAUUGGUACCUUGACGGUACCUCACCAGAAAGCCACGGCUAACUACGUGCCAGCAGCCGCAGUAA
rnacentral:rRNA from 1 species